UUAAUGACUAAUGUUAGGCAUACAUUCAUUUCCAAUCUCAAUUAAAUUGAGAGAGGGAGAGAGCAGCACAUAGCCAUGGCACUCACAGCCAUGGAAGCUCAUGGAUGAGCUCAAAAUUUGGAAGAGAUUAAAUUCAAGAAGGCGUUCUAUACGUUCAAGGAGGCGGUAACCUUGGGAUUUAAAUUGAGAAAGAAGCAGUGGUGCAAGUGAGUAUAGGAUCUGUCCUAAUCAAUUUGAGAUAAGAUUUCUUCUUUUGUCAUGAAAUUGGAAUUAACGAGAUUGUAGUGGAGAGAUUAAUUUAUAUUAAGUGAAAUUGGAAGUAGGAAUAUUGUAUGAUUAAUGUUGGCAACAAUAAGACAAAGUGGAUAAGUGUAAAUCCACAUGGCAUCAUGAUGUUUAUUUCUAUAUAUGACUCUUAUUAGGUGCAAAUUAAUUUAGUGGACACGUUCCGGAAGGGAAUGCAUUGUACGCAUGAAAGUGCUAAUUGUGUGGACCCCAUAAUCCACUGAUAUUAGACAUGCACAUAUAUCUCACUUUGGUUGAACAAAAGUUCAUAAAUAAAGUAUAUUGCAACUUUCUUCGUUAAAAACUCUAACGUGUGCAACAAUGAAAAAUAAGCAAUGUCAUUAUUACAAAAAUUUUCUAGUGCAGCAACGUUUCUCCCUUUUUUCUAUACUAACGCAGUACAUCAAUUUUGUUACGAUCUCUUCCUCUUUUCAAUAUAAAUACAACCAUUUUCCGACGUUGAUUUCAUGAUUAUAGUAUCGGUUUUCCCCGAGUGAUAGCCGGAUAUUUCUUCGUAGGGAAGUAAGGUGGAAGAAUAUUAUUUCUUGGAAUAUAAGACCCGCAAGCUCGAGAAGUAGACGUUGGACAUUAGAUAGAGUUCAAGGUAUGUGAGGCUAGUCCUUUCUUUCUAUGCCAUGAAUCUUAUAUCUUGACUCUCGUUUUAUCCAUGAGUUUCCUUAAGUUCCGGAAAAUAUGAGUCUAUGUCCAUAAUUAGCCACACAAGGUAAUGAGUAAAGUAUAGAAAUCCCAAUACUUAUGUUGUGAUGAUCUUAUGAUGUUAAUGAUGCUAUUUAUUGAUUACACUUACCUUAUAUGCUAAUUCCUUCAAGGUGAGGCAGGAUGUCAAUGAAUGCUCCAUAAUGACGUCGGAAGCCACCGACCUUACGUCACUGUGAUAUAGUUAUGACUUUUGAUUGGGAUCUUAUGCAUGCUUUAUAUAUAUACGUAUGUAUUUUCUCACACCGCGCCGCGCUAUAGUUGGCCGGGCAGGCACGUAAAUGUGCACACCACUAUAGUGGGCAGCUUUUACCCCGGACGCGGGAGGCCUGGACGCAGGCUAUGAUUAUCACACCGUACCUAAAUGGCGGGCAGCUUAUAUAUGUAUACAUACAUGACAUGAUAAUGAUUAUGAGUAAGUCAGCAUGCAUUAUUUCAUUUAUAUUUGACAGCUAGUACAGAUUGCUCUUUCUUGAUGCUUCCUUAUUUCAUUGAUGCCUUCCUAUUUCAUUGAUAUAUUGUUAUUGUUUAUGCCUCUCAUACUCAGUACAAUAUUCGUACUGACGUCCGUUUUCUUCGGACGCUGUGUUCAUGCCCACAGGUUGACAGGGAGGUGAGCUUGAUCCAGAUUCUUAGUAGCUGUCAACUGAUUGAGAGCACUCUGUUGUUCGGAGGUGCUUAUGUUUAUUCUUUUGGUUCAUAUAUGUAUUUCGCGCACGACGGAGUUUGGUUCCGUUUAUAUGUAUAAUAUGUCAGUAGAGGCUCGUAGACGCGCAGUGUGGGUUAGAUGGUCUCGCAAGAUUACUAUGUUAUAUUGGUAUAUGAUAUUUUGAUAGCCUAAGGGGCACAUGUAUAUAAAAUCAUUGGUGUUUUUUUAAAUAAAAAAUGGUUGUCUUA